rnacentral:piRNA from 1 species
UAAAUAUUUAUGGACAUGAAUGAAAUAGC